rnacentral:rRNA from 1 species
AGCGAACGCUGGCGGCAGGCCUAACACAUGCAAGUCGAACGAAGUCUUCGGACUUAGUGGCGGACGGGUGAGUAACACGUGGGAACGUACCUUUUGGUUCGGAACAACUCAGGGAAACUUGAGCUAAUACCGGAUGAGCCCUUAGGGGGAAAGAUUUAUCGCCGAAAGAGCGGCCCGCGUUAGAUUAGCUAGUUGGUGAGGUAAAGGCUCACCAAGGCUACGAUCUAUAGCUGGUCUGAGAGGAUGAUCAGCCACACUGGGACUGAGACACGGCCCAGACUCCUACGGGAGGCAGCAGUGGGGAAUCUUGCGCAAUGGGCGAAAGCCUGACGCAGCCAUGCCGCGUGAAUGAUGAAGGUCUUAGGAUUGUAAAACUCUUUCGCCGGAGAAGAUAAUGACGGUAUCCGGAGAAGAAGCCCCGGCUAACUUCGUGCCAGCCGCCGCAGUAACAC